rnacentral:rRNA from 1 species
CCUACGGGGGGCAGCAGUGAGGAAUAUUGGUCAAUGGGCGAGAGCCUGAACCAGCCAAGUCGCGUGAGGGAGUACUGCCCUAUGGGUUGUAAACCUCUUUUAUAUGGGAAUAAAAUGUUCCACGUGUGGGAUUUUGUAUGUACCAUAUGAAUAAGGAUCGGCUAACUCCGUGCCAGCAGCCGCGGUAAUACGGAGGAUCCGAGCGUUAUCCGGAUUUAUUGGGUUUAAAGGGAGCGUAGGUGGAUUGUUAAGUCAGUUGUGAAAGUUUGCGGCUCAACCGUAAAAUUGCAGUUGAAACUGGCAGUCUUGAGUACAGUAGAGGUGGGCGGAAUUCGUGGUGUAGCGGUGAAAUGCUUAGAUAUCACGAAGAACUCCGAUUGCGAAGGCAGCUCACUGGACUGCAACUGACACUGAGGCUCGAAAGUGUGGGUAUCAAACAGGAUUAGAUACCCUAGUAGUC